rnacentral:misc_RNA from 1 species
AUGUUUGAUUCCGAUUCUACGUUAAUGCCGUUUGGUUUAUGCCUUUUGCUGCUGCUGUUGUUGUAAUAGUAGGGGUGGUGCUGGUUCUGAUUCUGGUGGUUUCGAUUCGAGGAUGGUGUCGCUGGGGCUCCGGGUCCGGAUUUAUCCGGUUCGGAGUCUGCGUAGGAAGAGAAGUAGUCUCCGCCGUUGACGGAUUCAGCAUCAGGGUGGCGCGUUGGCGCGUGAGGAGGAGGCGCGUGGGAGUCGUUGAUGAGAGGGAAGUCGUCGGUGGCCAUGCGAGAGAGGGAAAGGAAGAUU